GACGAACGCUGGCGGCGUGCUUAACACAUGCAAGUCGAACGAUGAAGCCUUUCGGGUGGAUUAGUGGCGAACGGGUGAGUAACACGUGGGCAAUCUGCCCUGUACUUUGGGAUAAGCCUUGGAAACGGGGUCUAAUACCGGAUAUCACUUACCUCCGCAUGGGGGUUGGUUGAAAGUUCUGGCGGUACAGGAUGAGCCCGCGGCCUAUCAGCUUGUUGGUGGGGUAGUGGCCUACCAAGGCGACGACGGGUAGCCGGCCGU
rnacentral:rRNA from 1 species